GGGCCUGUAGCUCAGGCGGUUAGAGCGCAGUCCUGAUAAGACUGAGGUCGUUGGUUCGAGUCCAUCCAGGCCCACCA
rnacentral:tRNA from 3 species